AAGCACGUGGAGGAGCUUUCAUUAAUGAAAGGAGAAGAUUUCCAGUUUAAACAAGAUCAGGUGCAUUCAUCAAGUUCUGAUGCAAUGAUUGGUAAUGACCUCUGUUAAAUUUGGGCCAAGCCUAACUCACCCAAAAGCUAGCUCUAAGGGGAGGAGUGCCUAUGACCCAUAUAAAGGGCACAUUACCCUUUCCACAACCGAUGUGGGAUUCAACACACUCCCUCACGCCCAGAAUUUUUACUGGUGCGUGGCACAUUUAUGGGGCGCCCAACAUCGGAUGGGAGGCUCUGAUACCAUAGUUCUAAGGGGAGGAGUGCCUAUGGCCCAUAUAAGGGGCACAUUACCCUUUCCACAAUCGAUGUGGGAUUCAACAUGUUAAAAUUUGGACCAGGCCUAACUCACCCCAAAAGCUAGUUCAAGGGGAGGAGUGCCUAUAACCCAUAUAAGGGGCACAUUACCCCUUUCCACAACCGAUGUGGGAUUCAACACACCCCCUCACGCCCAGAAUUUUUACUGGUGCGUGACAUAUUUAUGGGGCGCCCAACAUCGGAUGGGAGGCUCUGAUGCCAUGUUAAAUUUGGACCAAGCCUAACUCACCCCAAAAGCUAGCUCAAGGGAGAUGAGUGCCUAUGGCCCAUAUAAGGGGCACAUUACCCCUUUCCACAACCGAUGUGGGAUUCAACAACCUCCUUCAAGACGCAAACCUGAAGCUUGUUUCCUCAGGUUCUAGUUAUCAGCAGGUGCCUUCUGAGGCAAAAUCUUCCCUCGUGGUUGAGAAACAGCUAUCUUGUUCAGAUAUAUCUGUUGUUGAACCAUCCAUAAAUUGUGAUGAUAAUAAAUCCCGAGUAAGACUAAGACCAGCAAUUUUUCUGCUAGCUUAUUACUUCUUUAUUUUUUAAAACUUGCCUCAUAUCUCAUGUCUGCUUGUUUCAAAAGAGCUUAUUGUUUUUAAUAGAGCUUUCUAUUUAUUAAUAAUAUUAUAUUGUUCAGCCAUGGUAAUUAGAUAGAAUGUUCUGCAGUUGCACAUUCAUGUGAAGUGUUUGAUAGAAAUAAAUUGAGUGCUAAAAAUUGGAUUGUUAGGAAGCAUUUCAAUGUGUCAGGUUCUCACAGAGAGGUACUUGCUUUUACAUAGUAAACUGGACAGGUUCAGAUAAUUUAUUAAUAUAUAUUUAUCCUACUUUCAUGUAUUUGUAUAUAAGUGGCAUAGCUAGUGGAUAAAGUAUGUGAGGAGGAUACAGGUAUGCGCUGUUUUGUGGACCACUUGAGCAAUGUUACUCAUGCUUUGCUUAUAGAUAUUUGCAGUUGUCCAUUCUAAUAUUUGCAGGUUUAUACUAACAUUUAAAGUUCUUGUACAUGGAACUUUGGUCAAUUGAACAUAUAAAUUAAUUCAAACUAAGGGCUUUGUUCAGUUCAUUUCAGUGAU
rnacentral:lncRNA from 1 species